rnacentral:rRNA from 1 species
GACGAACGCUGGCGGCGCGCCUAACACAUGCAAGUCGAACGAGCGAGAGAGAGCUUGCUUUCUCGAGCGAGUGGCGAACGGGUGAGUAACGCGUGAGGAACCUGCCUCAAAGAGGGGGACAACAGUUGGAAACGACUGCUAAUACCGCAUAAGCCCACGACCCGGCAUCGGGUAGAGGGAAAAGGAGCAAUCCGCUUUGAGAUGGCCUCGCGUCCGAUUAGCUAGUUGGUGAGGUAACGGCCCACCAAGGCGACGAUCGGUAGCCGGACUGAGAGGUUGAACGGCCACAUUGGGACUGAGACACGGCCCAGACUCCUGCGGGAGGCAGCAGUGGGGAAUAUUGCACAAUGGGGGAAACCCUGAUGCAGCGACGCCGCGUGGAGGAAGAAGGUCUUCGGAUUGUAAACUCCUGUUGUGGAGGAAGAUAAUGACGGUACUCAACAAGGAAGUGACGGCUAACUACGUG